GGAGCUGGCCAGGCAAUCGCGCUCAUCGAGCGAGGAAAGUCCGGGCUUCGCAGGGCAGAGUGCCAGGUAACACCUGGGCGGCGUGAGCCGACGGCAAGUGCAACAGAGAAUAGACCGCCGAUGGUUUGCAGGGUGUUGUACCCGCAGACACAGGUAAGGCUGAAACGGUGCGGUAAGAGCGCACCGCGCCUGUGGUAACACAGCGUGGCAAGGUAAACCCCACUCGAAGCAAGGCCAAAUAGGGGUGCGGAAUGUGUGGCCCGCACUGCACCCGGGUAGGCUGCUUGAGGGGUCUGGUGACAGGCUUCCCAGAUGAAUGAUUGUCUUCGACAGAACCCGGCUUAUCGGCCAGCUCCUUUU
rnacentral:RNase_P_RNA from 1 species